CGGCCGAACACGGUCGGCGUUCCCUGCCACUGUGUUCUGGCCCGGGAGAGGAUUGAUAAUUAGGAGUUGUUGUGGGCCUUCAGGGCACCGUCCAGGGAGGGUGGAUUCUUCUCCAGUUUCGGGCGGUACAGAUCGUUUCUCGAUCUAUCUUUCUUGGAUCCGGGGCGGAGGCAGUGGUGCAGCAGUGACAGUCUUCAGCUUUCCAGUGGUGGUUUCUGGCAUCAUCGAUCUUGCGUGGUGUAUGGCUGUGGCGAUUCAGAUCAGAGCGAGGCAGUGGAGAUCUCGAAUGGGAUCUGUCUUCGCUUUGCUCUGGGUUCGUUUUGUGGUCGUCUGCCUGGUGUGGGACUAGCUAUGGCGUGACAAGGCGGUGCUGCGACGGAAGGCUUUGGCGCGGUGGCUUGUUGCUGUGUGGCGGUGUUUUGGUGGUGCUGGGGAUCACCGGCGGCAGCAUGGUGGUGAUGGGUGACUUGAUUCAUUAACUCUCGCAAGCGUACGAAUCGUUGUCAAGUAAGGGAAGUAUUAAAACCUUGAUUAUCGUACCUCGAGGAUUAGGUGUUGGACCUAACCGAGGUAAUUGGCGC
rnacentral:lncRNA from 1 species